rnacentral:lncRNA from 1 species
GGAUUCCUCACAAUCACAGGAGGGAAGUGAAGCUAAGACAUCUAAUUCAUCCCAACAAUCCUUCAUUUUAGAGUAAUAUGCAGUAACAGAUUCAGUUCCUGCCUCAACGAGGCAAUUUUAGUCCACAAGUGAAAUAUCCUAGUUAAGUUCGAUCUAUCAAAUCUCUCUUGAAAUUCACUCCAUACCUUCUUAGUAUUAGAUGCAUAUAUAAUACUGGCCAUCAACUCCUCUGCUACUGUGCUUUCUAUCCAUGACAAAAUAAUUGCGUUGGAUUUCUCCCAUUGCUCCGUCAAUUCACCCUUUUACACACUUUUAACAUAGGUUCCGUCCACAAAACCUAGUUUUCCUUUGCCUCGAAGAGCUAAUUUCAUAUCUACUCCACAAAGCAUAAUUGUUUGGUCCUGUGAGCUUCAGCUGUAUUAGGAUGAUCCCAUGCGAAUCUACAGGUUAAAGAUAUAGCGGAUGAUUGUGAUCCAGAGAAGUAACUUCAUUUCCUGCCAUUUUUGUCAGAAAAUCGAGCUUCACGAUCCUGUGCAGUCAUAUGAGAAAUCAUACAAAUUUUGCUAUGUGUUCUUCUGCAGAUCUCGAUCUGUUUCAGCACAUGAUUUGUCCUCAAUUUACCCGCUCUGAUACCAUGUCAAAUUGAGGCAUGCAAUUCGUGUGAUUGGGAAUUUCUUAGAGAGAAAAUGAAUAGAGGAGGAAGAAGAGAA